GGCAACGGGCUGCAGUAACAUGUGGGUAUCUGCCCUUUGGCCAACACGAGGAAACUUGAUGCUAAUACCGGAUAAGUCUUUACGGAGAAAGCUUUAUGCACCAUUGGAUGAGCCCGCACUUGAUUAGUUAGUUGGUAGGGUAAUGGCCUACCAAGACUGUGAUCAAUAGCUGAUUUGAGAGGAUGAUCAGCCGCAUUGGGACUGAGACACGGCCCAAACUCCUACGGGAGGCAGCAGUGGGGAAUCUUGCACAAUGGAGGAAACUCUGAUGCAGCGAUGCCGCGUGAGUGAAGAAGGCCCUUGGGUUGUAAAGCUCUUUCGUCGGGGAAGAAAAUGACUGUACCCGAAUAAGAAGGUCCGGCUAACUUCGUGCCAGCAGCCGCGGUAAUACGAAGGGACCUAGCGUAGUUCGGAAUUACUGGGCUUAAAGAGUUC
rnacentral:rRNA from 1 species